rnacentral:rRNA from 1 species
UGGGGAAUUUUCCGCAAUGGGCGAAAGCCUGACGGAGCAACGCCGCGUGAGGGAUGAAGGCCUCUGGGCUGUAAACCUCUUUUAUCAAGGAAGAAGAUCUGACGGUACUUGAUGAAUAAGCCACGGCUAAUUCCGUGCCAGCAGCCGCGGUAAUACGGGAGUGGCAAGCGUUAUCCGGAAUUAUUGGGCGUAAAGCGUCCGCAGGCGGCCCUUCAAGUCUGCUGUUAAAAAGUGGAGCUUAACUCCAUCAUGGCAGUGGAAACUGUUGGGCUUGAGUGUGGUAGGGGCAGAGGGAAUUCCCGGUGUAGCGGUGAAAUGCGUAGAUAUCGGGAAGAACACCAGUGGCGAAG